rnacentral:rRNA from 1 species
UAGUAGUUUGACCGUGGCUACGAGGACGAACGCUGGCGGCGCGCCUAACACAUGCAAGUCGAACGGGACUAUGCAAGAUUGAAGUUUUUCGGAUGGAAUUUUGUAUAGUUUAGUGGCGGACGGGUGAGUAACACGUGAGCAACCUGCCUUCGAGAGGGGAAUAACGGCUGGAAACGGUCGCUAAUACCGCAUAACAUACAGGAGGGACAUCCCUUUUGUAUCAAAGAUUUAUCGCUCGAAGAUGGGCUCGCGUCCGAUUAGGUAGUUGGUGAGGUAAUGGCCCACCAAGCCGACGAUCGGUAGCCGGACUGAGAGGUUGAACGGCCACAUUGAGACUGAGACACGGCCCAGACUCCUACGGGAGGCAGCAGUGGGGGAUAUUGCACAAUGGGGGAAACCCUGAUGCAGCGACGCCGCGUGUAGGAAGACGGUCCUCUGGAUUGUAAACUACUGUCCCCAGGGACGAAGAUGACGGUACCUGGGGAGGAAGCUCCGGCUAACUACGUG